AAAGUUCUGAGACACUCUGACU
rnacentral:miRNA from 14 species